rnacentral:rRNA from 1 species
AGAGUUUGAUCAUGGCUCAGGAUGAACGCUAGCUACAGGCUUAACAUAUGCAAGUCGAGGGGAAACGACAUCGAAAGCUUGCUUUUGAUGGGCGUCGACCGGCGCACGGGUGAGUAACGCGUAUCCAACCUGCCCACCACUUGGGGAUAACCUUGCGAAAGUAAGACUAAUACCCAAUGACGUCUCUAGAAGACAUCUGAAGGAGAUUAAAGAUUUAUCGGUGAUGGAUGGGGAUGCGUCUGAUUAGCUUGUUGGCGGGGUAACGGCCACCAAGGCGACGAUCAGUAGGGGUUCUGAGAGGAAGGUCCCCCANAUUGGAACUGAGACACGGUCCAAACUCCUACGGGAGACA